rnacentral:rRNA from 1 species
AUUGAACGCUGGCGGCAGGCCUAACACAUGCAAGUCGAGCGGAUGAAGGGAGCUUGCUCCUGGAUUCAGCGGCGGACGGGUGAGUAAUGCCUAGGAAUCUGACUGGUAGUGGGGGAUAACGUCCGGAAACGGGCGCUAAUACCGCAUACGUCCUGAGGGAGAAAGUGGGGGAUCUUCGGACCUCACGCUAUCAGAUGAGCCUAGGUCGGAUUAGCUAGUUGGUGGGGUAAAGGCCUACCAAGGCGACGAUCCGUAACUGGUCUGAGAGGAUGAUCAGUCACACUGGAACUGAGACACGGUCCAGACUCCUACGGGAGGCAGCAGUGGGGAAUAUUGGACAAUGGGCGAAAGCCUGAUCCAGCCAUGCCGCGUGUGUGAAGAAGGUCUUCGGAUUGUAAAGCACUUUAAGUUGGGAAGAAGGGCAGUAAGUUAAUACCUUGCUGUUUUGACGUUACCAACAGAAUAAGCACCGGCUAACUUCGUG